rnacentral:rRNA from 1 species
AUUCAACGCUGGCGGCAGGCCUAACACAUGCAAGUCGAACGGUAACAGGAAGAAGCUUGCUUCUUUGCUGACGAGUGGCGGACGGGUGAGUAAUGUCUGGGAAACUGCCUGAUGGAGGGGGAUAACUACUGGAAACGGUAGCUAAUACCGCAUAACGUCGCAAGACCAAAGAGGGGUACCUUCGGGCCUCUUGCCAUCGGAUGUGCCCAGAUGGGAUUAGCUAGUAGGUGGGGUAACGGCUCACCUAGGCGACGAUCCCUAGCUGGUCUGAGAGGAUGACCAGCCACACUGGAACUGAGACACGGUCCAGACUCCUACGGGAGGCAGCAGUGGGGAAUAUUGCACAAUGGGCGCAAGCCUGAUGCAGCCAUGCCGCGUGUAUGAAGAAGGCCUUCGGGUUGUAAAGUACUUUCAGCGGGGAGGAAGGGAGUAAAGUUAAUACCUUUGCUCAUUGACGUUACCCGCAGAAGAAGCACCGGCUAACUCCGUG